rnacentral:rRNA from 1 species
CCGGCGACCGGCGCACGGGUGAGUAACACGUAUGCAACCUGCCCUCUUCAGGGGGACAACCUUCCAAAAGGGAGGCUAAUCCCGCGUAUAUCGGUUUCGGGCAUCCGAGAUCGAGGAAAGAUUCAUCGGAAGAGGAUGGGCAUGCGGCGCAUUAGCUAGACGGCGGGGUAACGGCCCACCGUGGCGACGAUGCGUAGGGGUUCUGAGAGGAAGGUCCCCCACACUGGUACUGAGACACGGACCAGACUCCUACGGAAGGCAGCAG